rnacentral:misc_RNA from 1 species
UGGUAGUCCUGAAAAUGCAUCUGAGAGAGAAAAUGGGGUGAGUUUGGCUGAUGCUGGUGUACUUAAGAAGUCUGCGGACAGCAUUAACAGUUCCUCUGCUGUUGGACUUGUAAAUAGUGAUUUAACUGGGCAGAACCUUAACAAAUAUGAGAAGACAACUUCCACGUUUGGUAUGGAGAAAGGUGAAAUUUCCAAUUCUAAUGCCUCUGGAAGUGUUGAACAUCAGGCCUAUGAAAAUAAACAAAAGUUUUGUUGAUUGACUGAGCAGGAAAAGUAUGAGCUAGCUGGAAAAUUCUUCCUCUUGAAUAUCCAUGAGAUGGGGUUAUUCAUAAAUUUAGAUUUGUUCAUGCACAUGCAAAGGGCACAGAGUGGUCGAGAGAGGCAAUGGUGGGAUUUUCAAAUUAUUUUGUGUGUGGCUAGUAGAUUUUCUGUUUCUUUUAGCAACUUUCUUUUGGUCUUUGAUAACUUGACGCAUAAUUUUACAACUAGACGUUAGCAAUCACAAAGAUGCAAUGCGAUGCUUUCUAUAUGAAUUACCUGUCAAUUUUGGUGGCAUCUGGUUCAACACAUAGUCACAUUGAAACAAGAGCUGAUAAUUUUCAGGUCCACAGCAGGCUUGAGAAAUAAAUUGACUCCCAAGCAUUUGCUGCAUCAUCAAGUUUUCACUGUCUUUCUCCUCUUUAUUUUUAAAGAUGGCUUUAUGCAAUUUAGAAAUUUGUUUCAUAUAUAUUGAGUGUUUGAUAUGGGAAUUAUUAAGUGUUUUCUCCAUUUAAUUUCUGAUUUUUAAGUAAUCAAAAGCUAUCUUUAUUCAUUUCUUUGCUGCUUUUGCCAUUGCCAACUUAUAACGCUCAGGAAGUAGUUGAAGUACAUGGUAGCGCGACGACAGACAACGAACUUUCUGAAGAAGACAUGCAUCAAGUCGCAAGAGACUGAUGGAAGAGAUGGAUGCCAUUUUAUUGGUACUCCAAAUUGAGUGAGACUAACAGGCAUGAUUGUUUACCUGUUAUGUUGAAUGGGGAGAGCAAGUUUUUUUUAUCGUUCUUGCUAGAAGGAGCAUGAGCAAGCAGCCUUCACUUGCAUUUCUGAUACUAAGAAGGUUUAUUUUGUGAUUGGCAAGUUUUCUGAGGCGUAUUUGGCAUACAGUAUUGAUACUGGGGUGGAAUGGAGAGAUGAAUAGAAAUUUUGGUGCAUCCCAUGUGGUCGUACAGGUGUCAUGUUUAAGUGGUCUUUAGAUUUCAGAAACAAAAUUCACUGUAGAAGCAGAAAAAUAGGAGUUUUGCAUUUUUUUUUAUAUAUAUCUUUUAGCAGAAGAGUAGAAAUAAUGAAUUACGUGGAGAAAUGCGACAGAUUAUUUGUUGCACUUAUUUCUUUACAGGCAUACCAUACUGACGCUGUCGCAUUAUCGGAGACAGUCCACUUUGGUGCAUCAGUGCAUGUCAUAUAUGAAGAAAUAAGACCUUUUUCUGUGUGUUAUUUUGGUUAUAUGAUUAUUUGUCAUCAGAAUGAAGUGAAAGAAUACAAUGCCCAUGUUUGUUAUCAUGGAAAGGAUCUUGGGGUCAAAAUUUCACAGCCUUCACCCAGUUUCCUUUAGAUGUGGUGCCAUGGACUUGCUUUAUUGUCCUAGUGCAAUUGUUGAUGGCUACAAGAAACUCCAGCAGGCAAUAAUACAUUUUCAAGUAGAAUUAGAUUGAUGAAGCUAAAUAUUUGCUAGAGUGGAUUGGAAAUGAGAGUUUUGAAUGGUAUUUUCUGUAGUUUCCAGAAUAAAAAUAGUUUGUCUCUAUAGUUAUUACAAUCUCAAAAUGAUGUUAAAUGCCAUCUCUGGAGUAACCUGUGAAAAGCUUGGAUUAACAGGGCAUUCCAGGCUUUUUAGCCCUCACAAUAUUUAAAGUUCCAACGAUGGUUCAAAUGAACAGACAUUUUCCUUAACAGUUGCUAAUACCAGUCCUCCCUCAAGGCCUUAAUGGGCUCAACUUGUUG